ACGACCGUACCGCAAACCGACACUGGUGCGCGAGAUGAGUAUUCUAAGGCGCUUGAGAGAACUCAGGAGAAGGAACUCGGCAAAUUGACACCGUAACUUCGGAAGAAGGUGUGCCUUUAGUAGGUGAACCUGUACAAGGGGAGCCCAAUGAGGUUGCAAAAAAUCGGUGGCUGCGACUGUUUAAUAAAAACACAGCACUCUGCAAACACGAAAGUGGACGUAUAGGGUGUGACGCCUGCCCGGUGCUGGAAGAUUAAAUGAUGGGGUGCAAGCUCUUGAUUGAAGUCCCAGUAAACGGCGGCCGUAACUAUAACGGUCCUAAGGUAGCGAAAUUCCUUGUCGGGUAAGUUCCGACCUGCACGAAUGGCGUAACGAUGGCCACACUGUCUCCUCCUGAGACUCAGCGAAGUUGAAAUGUUUGUGAUGAUGCAAUCUCCCCGCGGAAAGACGGAAAGACCCCAUGAACCUUUACUGUAGCUUUGUAUUGGACUUUGAACAGAUCUGUGUAGGAUAGGUGGGAGGCUUUGAAGUGUGGUCGCUAGAUCGCAUGGAGCCAACGUUGAAAUACCACCCUGGUGUGUUUGAGGUUCUAACCUAGGCCCGUAAUCCGGGUCGGGGACAGUGCAUGGUAGGCAGUUUGACUGGGGCGGUCUCCUCCCAAAGCGUAACGGAGGAGUUCGAAGGUACGCUAGGUACGGUCGGACAUCGUGCUAAUAGUGCAAUGGCAUAAGCGUGCUUAACUGCGAGACUGACAAGUCGAGCAGAUGCGAAAGCAGGACAUAGUGAUCCGGUGGUUCUGUAUGGAAGGGCCAUCGCUCAACGGAUAAAAGGUACUCUGGGGAUAACAGGCUGAUACCGCCCAAGAGUUCAUAUCGACGGCGGUGUUUGGCACCUCGAUGUCGGCUCAUCUCAUCCUGGGGCUGUAGCCGGUCCCAAGGGUAUGGCUGUUCGCCAUUUAAAGAGGUACGUGAGCUGGGUUUAAAACGUCGUGAGACAGUUUGGUCCCUAUCUUCCGUGGGCGCUGCAGAUUUGAGGAAGCCUGCUCCUAGUACGAGAGGACCGGAGUGGACACACCUCUGGUGUAUCGGUUGUCACGCCAGUGGCAUUGCCGAGUAGCUAUGUGUGGAAGAGAUAACCGCUGAAAGCAUCUAAGCGGGAAACUCGUUUCAAGAUGAGAUCUGCCGGGGCCUUGAGCCCCCUAAAGAGUCGUUCAAGACCAGGACGUUGAUAGGUCGGGUGUGGAAGCGCAGUAAUGCGUUAAGCUAACCGAUACUAAUUGCUCGUGCGGCUUGACC
rnacentral:rRNA from 1 species